rnacentral:rRNA from 1 species
AUGGAGGGUUUUGACCUAGAAAAAACCCAUAAGGAAUCUUUCGGGACGAAGCGCCGCCAUCUCGAGGCGGAACCUGGGCAGAAGCAAUCUAGGGAUCCAGUGGAGCUAUUCUGUCGGGGAAACUUCCCUCCGGGAGGAGGAAAUCGAAGCCAUCGUCAUCACCAACGAUCCUCUCACCAAGGGAGGGUCAAUCUUCAUCAACAUCUUCACCAACAACAUCUCCUCUCAAACCCUAGUUCAUCUCUUGUAUUCAAUCUUUGUCCCAAAACCUCAGAUUGGUACCUGUGGGUUGCUAGUAGUGUUGAUUACUCCUUGUAG